rnacentral:rRNA from 1 species
GACGAACGCUGGCGGCGUGCCUAAUACAUGCAAGUCGAACGCUUCUUUCCUCCCGAGUGCUUGCACUCAAUUGGAAAGAGGAGUGGCGGACGGGUGAGUAACACGUGGGUAACCUACCCAUCAGAGGGGGAUAACACUUGGAAACAGGUGCUAAUACCGCAUAACAGUUUAUGCCGCAUGGCAUAAGAGUGAAAGGCGCUUUCGGGUGUCGCUGAUGGAUGGACCCGCGGUGCAUUAGCUAGUUGGUGAGGUAACGGCUCACCAAGGCCACGAUGCAUAGCCGACCUGAGAGGGUGAUCGGCCACACUGGGACUGCGCCACGGCCCAGACUCCUACGGGAGGCAGCAGUAGGGAAUCUUCGGCAAUGGACGAAAGUCUGACCGAGCAACGCCGCGUGAGUGAAGAAGGUUUUCGGAUCGUAAAACUCUGUUGUUAGAGAAGAACAAGGACGUUAGUAACUGAACGUCCCCUGACGGUAUCUAACCAGAAAGCCACGGCUAACUACGUG